GUUUGGCUGUGGUUUUUAUCAUUCUGUGAGGAUGAACUAAUACAAGAAUUGGCACAUUUCAGCUCAAUAUUAGGAGUAUUUCUAGGAUUUACAGCCAUUCAGCGCUGGGAGGGCCUGAAACAGGUAGUAGGUACUCACGAUACCCUCUCACAGGUAUUUGGUCACUGGUAGUGAACUAACUGUCCAGUUCAAGGUUUCUCAAAUGGAGUCAUUUGCAUAUUUGCAAUUUCUUUCUUUUUGCUAUAACUGAUCAUAGUAUUUUAAAAAGUAAUAUUAAAAAUACACGUUUAAAAUGUGUAAAGUGCACCAUUCUUCAGUGUGCAGCUGGAUGGAUUGUUUCAAAUGUAUAGUUUUGUACUCAAUUCUCAGAUGUAAAUACAGAACCAUCACGUGGGGGGGUUCCUGCUAGCUCUCUCCUAACCAAUGAUUCUUUCCCUNNNNNNNNNNNUUUCCCUAGGUAAGCACAGUUCUUACUCCAAUCACUAUAAAUUAGUCUUGCAUAUUCUUGAGCUGCAUAUAAAAUGUCUCCAUUGUUCACGUAACACUUGAAGUAGACUCAUUUUUUAUAACUUUCUAUUGACCUAACAAAUGACAUUGGUGAAACAAUGGUUUGAUGUGAUAGGCAUUUCCCCCUAAUACACAUUACAAUAGACUUCAUGUAGAAACUAAUAUGACCUCUUGAGUCACCACUGGCAUACGGACAGUAUUUUGCUUCUCUGAAACAACCAGAUGAUUUCUGAGGUCUUUUUCGCAACUCGAAGCCUAUGAUUUUGUGUUGAUCGAGUAGCCCAAAGCUCAUGAAACCACGGUAACAAUUCUGAUCCCGCCAUUGCACCAUCCACCCAUCCAAGUAACACUCGUUGAGUAUCUAGCGAAGAAUCUCCUACGUUGGUGUCUGAGAUGACCCCACUUCCUGAACAGCAGUGGGAGGAAGAGAAGAAUAAAUCAUUUCAUUGUGUGUGGCAACUGCUAUAGUUCAGUGUCCUGGGUCAUGAAACUUAAUCCACAACAAGCUCCAUUAUACGGUGAUUGUGUUCUUACUGUACUGCUUGCUGAAGAGGACAAAGUUGAAGAUGAUGUAGUUUUUUACUUGGUAUUUUCAGGCUCCACCCUUCAUCAUUGUGCAAGUACUCGCAAAGUCAGUUCUGACACACUGGAAACCAUUGCUCCUGGUCAUGACUGCUGUGAGACAGUGAAGGUACAGCUCUGUGCUUCCAAGGAGGGCCUUCCCACAUUUGUGGUGGCUGAAGAAGACUUCAGUUUUGUCCAGGAUGAGGCAUAUGAUGCAGCUCAAUUCCUGGCAACUAGUGCUGGAAACCAGCAAGCUCUGAACUUCACUCGUUUUCUUGACCAUUCAGGACCCCCAUCUGGAGAUGUGAAUUCCCUUGAUGAGAAGGUCUCACUGGCUUUCAGACAUCUGAAGCUGCCAGCAGAGUGGAAUGUAUUGGGGACAGAUCAGACUUUGCAUGAUGGUGGUCCCCGGGAGACAUUGAUGCAUUUUGCUGUGCGGCUGGGACUGCUGCGGUUGACAUGGUUCCUAUUGCAAAAACCUGGUGGCCGCGGAGCUCUGAGUGUCCACAACCAGGAAGGGGCAACACCUGUGAGCUUGGCUUUGGAGCGAGGUUAUCACAAGCUGCACCAGCUUCUAACUGAGGAGAAUGCUGGGGAACCAGACUCCUGGAGCAGUUUAUCCUAUGAAAUCCCGUGUGGAGACUGUUUGGUGAGGCAUCAUCGGGAGCUGGACAUCUAUACUUUGACCUCUGAGUCAGAAUCCAACUGUGAAUCCCCAUUUCCUGGAAACAGUUGCUCUGGACAUAUUUUAAAACUUAUGAACAUUCAACAGCAACUAAUGGUAAGGAAGAUGGAUUUCAUUUUCAGCUGUGCAUGUGUGUGUGUAUGUGUCUAUCUUGCCUAAUGAACUAGCCAUACUUAGAAUAUAAAAAUGCUUCUACCACAGAUCAUGAAGCCUGUAAAGUAGUAUUAGUACUAGUAGAUGUCAGCACGUAAAAUAUAACCUAGCAUAAAGAUUGUAGUGGGCAGCUGAGAUUUUUAAAUUGAUUUUUGCCAUAUUUUUUA
rnacentral:lncRNA from 1 species